GGGCGUGUGGCCCAGCCAGGAUAGGGCACUGGCCUUCUAAGCCAGUGGUCGCGGGUUCAAAUCCCGCCACGCCCG
rnacentral:tRNA from 1 species